rnacentral:rRNA from 1 species
CGUUCUUUGCUGGCGACCGGCGCACGGGUGAGUAACACGUAUCCAACCUGCCCUUUACUCGGGGAUAGCCUUUCGAAAGAAAGAUUAAUACCCGAUAGCAUAAUGAUUCCGCAUGGUUUCAUUAUUAAAGGAUUCCGGUAAAGGAUGGGGAUGCGUUCCAUUAGGUUGUUGGUGAGGUAACGGCUCACCAAGCCUUCGAUGGAUAGGGGUUCUGAGAGGAAGGUCCCCCACAUUGGAACUGAGACACGGUCCAA